rnacentral:lncRNA from 1 species
GAUGUGCCAAAAAAGGUUCAUGCAUAAGGAACCAUCCAGACUGCCCAUAAUUAAUAUGCAUUGAUUCCGCCAUGGAACAUGGGAACACUUUUGGGGGAAGCCAUCACAUGAAACCAACUACAUGGGCAAGUACAUGUACAUGUGUGGAGAAUUUUUCGUUCAUCAAAUUGUGCUUGGACUGUUAACGGGGGACAAAGCGACACAAAAGUACACUGAGAUCAACUAUUCUGUUCACGCUUACCAACAAAUGAAAUUUUGGCUGAGUUUGGGAAAGGAUUGCAAAAUUUGCCAUUCUCCGGCGUGGUUGUCUGCGGCUGACGAUGACUGACGCGGUGGUGGGCAACUGCCUAUCAGAUGUCCUCUGGUUUAAUCAUGCGUGGUCAAAAACGACCCGGCGGUAUGAAGAUGCACUACGUCAACAUAAUACCCGCACCCAGGCCGUAGUGCACAAGGUCAGCGGCGUUAAUGUAUUACCAGGCUAAUUCAGCAGUCGAGCCAGGCUGAUUUGUUGAAUGGGGGAGCGUGGUCUGAAUUUUUUUUUUUACGAGUGGUCACAUCAAAGGAAAAAUUAAUGGAGAAAGAUUAAUGCAGACACAAUCACUUAAAAUACUUUACGUACGGCAGUCUAGGUUCUGGCUGAUCAAUUCAAACUGCAGAUGCAUUUAAAAUGCUCAUAAUAUAAUUAUAAUACAUUGCCCUACAAAAACCCUCAGAUUAAUAGAUUACACCAUUUGGUUGACUAGCUUACGUGAAAUUGUGCAAAUAAGGUUAGUGUAUUUAAGACAAAGAAUUUUGUUUCUUGCGUGUACACGUGUACAUACAUACGUGUACAUGUACAGGAAUAUUAACAUUGUAGGCCGGCUUGGUGUGGCUCCAUAAUUUUUUUUUUAAUUGGUAAAUUUUUUUCAAAUAAAGGAAUUCUGACUCUGCUUGGUUCUCAAGGUUGCGUGAAGUGAACAGAAACACAACUAUCUUUUUUUUGUUUGGCACAUUACUUGGUUCAAAAUUUGUGUCUUCUUCAACGUUCUGGUGGUUUUUGACAGAUCAGGGAGAUUUAUGUAUUGGAUUUUAAAGGCAGCAUGAAGGUGUAUUUGAAAGAGAGCCAGUUUAGUAUAAAUACUCCAUUCGCUGUAUCCAACCAAAAGGGUUCAGGUUUCAGUGAGGGACAGUCGGGAAGCCUUCCCGGACAUGCAUGCCUACAACCAAAUACUUCACUUGUUUACAAAUGUUGUUGUUGCCAGAAUGUUUGCGUACUAAGUGAUUAAUUUACCAGGAAACAUUGGAUUUCCCACUUAUUACACACCAAAUGCCAAGUAUCAGUCGGAAAUCCACAGAGCAACUGACAUGUGCAUGCAUUGUACAUGUACAUAUACAUGUACAUACCAGGUCUACCACAGAGGGACAAGGGGGGGUACCAGCAUGUCUGCACUGAUGAUUUAGUGCUUUGUUUACUCAGGGCAGAUUGUUGUCUGGGGAACCAGUAUUUUAUCAAUGUGUCUAGCACUACACAGCAUGUGCAACAUGGAGCUAUGUAAUUAAUGGAGUGCUAAUUCGCAGUUCCAAGCGAAGCCUGCUGGGUGUAUCCAUGUUCGCGCAAAAACCCAUGGAAAACCUGAAAUUUUGUGUGGCUUUUGUAUGGUUUUUUGCACAUCUGCAUCCAUAUUCUAAAGCAAUCAGUAAAUGAGUAUUUAGUUUUGCUUAGUGUAAGCAACACAAGCAAUGUAAAAAACGUGCGUGUGUGUGAAUUUGUUUCUGCAUUCA